UACGAAGGGGGCUAGCGUUGCUCGGAAUCACUGGGCGUAAAGCGCACGUAGGCGGAUUGUUAAGUCAGGGGUGAAAUCCUGGAGCUCAACUCCAGAACUGCCUUUGAUACUGGCGAUCUCGAGUCCGGGAGAGGUGAGUGGAACUGCGAGUGUAGAGGUGAAAUUCGUAGAUAUUCGCAAGAACACCAGUGGCGAAGGCGGCUCACUGGCCCGGUACUGACGCUGAGGUGCGAAAGCGUGGGGAGCAACAGGGAUAAGA
rnacentral:rRNA from 1 species